AGAGUUUGGUCAUGGCUCAGGACGAACGCUGGCGGCACGCUUAACACAUGCAAGUCGAACGAGAGAAGAGGAGCUUGCUUUUCUGAUCUAGUGGCGGACGGGUGAGUAACACGUGAGCAAUCUGCCUUUCAGAGGGGGAUACCGAUUGGAAACGAUCGUUAAUACCGCAUAACAUAAUUGAACCGCAUGAUUUGAUUAUCAAAGAUUUAUCGCUGAAAGAUGAGCUCGCGUCUGAUUAGCUAGUUGGUAAGGUAACGGCUUACCAAGGCGACGAUCAGUAGCCGGACUGAGAGGUUGAUCGGCCACAUUGGGACUGAGACACGGCCCAGACUCCUACGGGAGGCAGCAGUGGGGAAUAUUGCACAAUGGAGGAAACUCUGAUGCAGCGAUGCCGCGUGAGGGAAGAAGGUUUUAGGAUUGUAAACCUCUGUCUUCAGGGACGAAAAAAGACGGUACCUGAGGAGGAAGCUCCGGCUAACUACGUGCCAGCAGCCGCGGUAAUACGUAGGGAGCGAGCGUUGUCCGGAAUUACUGGGUGUAAAGGGAGCGUAGGCGGGAUCGCAAGUCAGAUGUGAAAACUAUGGGCUUAACCCAUAAACUGCAUUUGAAACUGUGGUUCUUGAGUGAAGUAGAGGUAAGCGGAAUUCCUAGUGUAGCGGUGAAAUGCGUAGAUAUUAGGAGGAACAUCAGUGGCGAAGGCGGCUUACUGGGCUUUAACUGACGCUGAGGCUCGAAAGCGUGGGGAGCAAACAGGAUUAGAUACCCUGGUAGUCCACGCCGUAAACGAUGAUUACUAGGUGUGGGGGGACUGACCCCUUCCGUGCCGCAGCAAACGCAACAAGUAAUCCACCUGGGGAGUACGACCGCAAGGUUGAAACUCAAAGGAAUUGACGGGGGCCCGCACAAGCAGUGGAGUAUGUGGAUUAAUUCGAAGCAACGCGAAGAACCUUACCAGGUCUUGACAUCGUAUGCAUAGCUCAGAGAUGAGUGAAAUCUCUUCGGAGACAUAUAGACAGGUGGUGCAUGGUUGUCGUCAGCUCGUGUCGUGAGAUGUUGGGUUAAGUCCCGCAACGAGCGCAACCCUUACUGUUAGCUGCUACGCAAGAGCACUCUAGCAGGACUGCCGUUGACAAAACGGAGGAAGGUGGGGAUGACGUCAAAUCAUCAUGCCCCUUAUGACCUGGGCCUCACACGUACUACAAUGGCUGUCAACAGAGGGAAGCAAAGCCGCGAGGUGGAGCGAACCCCUAAAAGCAGUCUUAGUUCGGAUUGUAGGCUGCAACCCGCCUACAUGAAGUCGGAAUUGCUAGUAAUCGCAGAUCAGCAUGCUGCGGUGAAUACGUUCCCGGGCCUUGUACACACCGCCCGUCACGCCAUGGGAGUCGGUAACACCCGAAGCCUGUAGUCUAACCGCAAGGAGGACGCAGUCGAAGGUGGGAUUGAUGACUGGGGUGAAGUCGUAACAAGGUA
rnacentral:rRNA from 1 species